GAUUGGUUAGUUGUAUGUUGAUAAUGUGUUUAUAAAGGACACAUCUCACUGCUGUUUGAAUAUCAUACCUGCUUCAGAGGACUCACUGAGGUGAUUUACUGCAAAGCCAUCCAAGGUUAUCAAGAAUCAUGAAAUCUUUCUUCAUUGUUGCCUGUGUCAUCGGACUCUGCUGUGUUGUGCUGGCAGAUGAUGAGCAACACAGAGAGAAGCAGAGCAAUUCCUUAGAGGUCAAUUUGCAGUUUUGUGCUCCUGCCCCAGCACCUGCCCCAGCACCUGCCCCUAAACCUACCCAAGCUCCUUGCCCUGCUCCUGCUCC